UCCUGCCUGGGCUGGCUUUGAACCACAAUCCUCAGAUCUCAGCCUCAUGAGUAGCGAGGAUUAUGGGUGUGAGCCACCAGGAUCUGGCUCAAAAUGCAUGUUUUAAAUCAUAUUAAAUCAGAGCUAGAAAAAUCCAUUCCUGAACUACCUCUUUCAAUGUUUUCUUUUUCAAGAACAGACUUUAUAAUUAAAGUCAGUUUUACUAUCUGAAAGAGCUGACACUUCUCCUUUCUCCUUCGUUUUUUCCCCCUAAAAUCUCAUAUCUUAGUUUUUCAGGAUGGAAACAAAAUUGGAUACAGGGAACAGUUCAGUGGCCGAACACUUGUCUCACCUACUCAAGGCCCUAGGGUUGAUCUCCACCACUAAAAAGG